rnacentral:lncRNA from 12 species
AUGUUCCCAAGACUCCUGCGGAGAGAGACUCCGUCCUGGCCCGGGUCUAUUCUUAGCAGCGCUCACAGCCGGUCCCGGAGAAGGCUGGCUGUUCCGCAGCGUCUGGCUUUCUCCGUCCAAUCUUUGGUGGAACCUUCUGUUUCCGCCUUCAGGACCACCCCUCCGGGCACACACGUGCAGAUGCAGCCCUCCAGGCGCACCCCUCCAGGAGCACCUCUGCAAGCACACCCCUGCAGGUGCAGCCCUCCAGGAGCACCCCUGCAGGCACACACCUACAGAUGCAGCCCUCCAGGUGCACCCCUCCAGGAGCACCCCUCCGGGCACACCCCUGCAGGUGCAGCCCUCCAGGAGCACCCUUCCGGGCACACCCCUGCAGGUGCAUACCCAGUGACCCCGCGGGGGCAAUGCAACCCUACCUGGAGGAGGUGCACCCCCAGCUCAGGCGGGCCGGAAGCAUAGGUGGGUGCGUGUCCAAGUCUCCCUGCACCCCGGGGGAGGGCUCAGCAGGCUCCGGGGGUGGGGAGCGGGGGGAGGCCCCCGGGGACCGGCAGUGACCUUUAUUGAUUUUCCGGUGAUCUGACAGCCAAAAAAAGGAGGCGUGGUGCGCCGGCGAAGGCGGCCCGGCGCUGCAGAAGGAGCAAAGGAAAACAAGCCUCCGGAACAAAGGAACGCACCCAGUGUAGACAUUCCAGACCCCUUUGGAUUCUUCGUCCCCUUGGAAAAUCCGUCUCUUUGAAGUUGAACCUUUUGACCAAAGCCGUGGGUUUCGUGCAAAGGCCAUUUUUUUGAUGGAACCUGCCACCAAAAAUCACUUUGCAAACAAAGGAAGGGGCCGGGGCUGACCCAGAGGUGUGAGGAACAGUGUGUGGGCGCUUCUGGUUUCCCUUUCUCCGCGUGCAUCCUUGACUUAAAAAAAAAAAAAAGAAAGUGCCCCUCCACUUCGCGAUGCCUCCUCCUCCCACCGGCCGCCUCUUCUGGGAGCAGCCGGGAGGCCGAGGCCUUUGAGACAAAUCACAGCCGCCCACUUCCUGCCGGCCCCGUUUCCACCUGGAAACCCUGCUUCCACCUUUGCAGGGUUCAGGUACCUGGAUUGAUGGAGCCUCCUUCACGGCCUCUUCCAGCCCAACUUCUCAUAACCCGAUGCAUAAAUAAUCACAUGUUUUAUAAAUAGCUGCGGACAAGAGGCUGUAAAACAACGAAGAUAUAUUUGUGCCUUUAUGUCCUAGAAAUAUUUUCUAAAACGACUGUUUUAUUUGGUGUGGGUUGGCUGUG